UUAGCUGCAGAAGAAGCACCGGCUAACUCCGUGCCAGCAGCCGCGGUAAUACGGAGGGUGCGAGCGUUAAUCGGAAUUACUGGGCGUAAAGCGCAUGCAGGUGGUUUGUUAAGUCAGAUGUGAAAAGCCCGGGGCUCAACCUCGGAAUUGCAUUUGAAACUGGCAAACUAGAGUACUGUAGAGGGGGGUAGAAUUUCAGGUGUAGCGGUGAAAUGCGUAGAGAUCUGAAGGAAUACCGGUGGCGAAGGCGGCCCCCCUGGACAGAUACUGACACUCAGAUCGCGAAAGCGUGGGGAGCAAACAGGAUUAGAUACCCUGGUAG
rnacentral:rRNA from 1 species